GACUGGCUCUGAUGAGAGGUUCAUUUUCCUUUCUUUGUGCAGGUGACAAAUUCUACCGCCAAUAAUCACUUGUGAAAAAUCAACAGUGAAGCCCAGCGGCUCCCGGCCCCGGAGAAAUUUGAGUGGAUUUCCGGAAGAGCAAGGUGGAAAAAACCCAGGGGCAGCAGUGGGACCCAGGACUGGGGGGGCCCGGGAGGGAGGACUCCGCUCAGCAGAGCGCAGGACAGGGCUGCACCUCGGGGGAGGGCCCCACUGCACCCCCCUCCUCCCAUCGCAUCACAGAGCCUUUGCAUAGGAUGAUCCCUCUGCCUGGAAUGGCCCUUCUUCUCCCCCUCCUGUGCAAGAGGACAGGGGGUGCGCAGGAGACACUGGGGAACAGGUGCUGCUAGAGGGAGGCUAGAGAAAGGGCAGUAAUGGCAGAAAGGGGCAGAUGGGCCUAUUCUGAAGGACUGAAUGCUGGGGAGGAGCUGGGUCACCUGCAGGACAAUAGGGAGCCAUGGAAGGUUUUUGAGCAGGGGAUGGAUAUGUAGAAAGCUCUGCUUCACUCGGCUUGUCCGUGCCUCUUCAAGUCUUCAGGGGAAGACUUGCUCGGUCUCCAUGGACCCAAGCCCUCAUCCUUUCUUGGGAAGGAGUGUAAAGAAUGAAUGGAGGUGCGGCGGUGAUGGGGGGGCGAGGGGACAGGUUGGGAUGACUAACGCAGAUGGCGGGCCACUCCUGUGCCUGUCUUAUGUCAGGGUCAGGGCUCCUACAGGGCAGUGCAAAUGGCGAGUGGGUGAGCCGGGCUUGGAGCCCAGGUCUGUCUGACCACAAGGCCCCAGCUGGAGGAGGAUCCUGGUAGCGACCUGCCUGUGGGAAGAAUUCCCCUAAAUGGUCUCAUUUGUGCCUCUUCCUCAUUCUGAGGAGGGGCUCUGUCCUCACUGACCCAUUUUGCAGACGAGGAAACCAAGGUUCAGAACUGUUAGGGGUUUGAGUUCACCAACGAAACCAGUAUUUCUGGCUUCUGAAGCACUGCUUGGCACGUGGCAGGUGCUUAACGAAGGGAUGGGAGUCAGGCUUUGAGGCUUUGGACUCCAGAAUCAGUUCUCUCCAAAUAGCACCCAAGAGAUUUCUCUGAGAUGGGGCUGUUCUCAGACAGUGUGAAAACCCCAGAAAUAGAAUUUUCCGGGAAACCUUCAACCAUCUUGGAAAUAUGGCCCAGUGAGGGAAGGUGGCUUGCCUAGGGCUGCACAGCACACCAGUGACAGAGCAGGGACCAGGACCCAGGGCUUUAGACUUUCCCUCCUCCUCUAGGCCCAGGCUGGUGAGCACAGUGGGCUCAGCCCAGAGCUGGAGAGGAAAGGCAGGUACUGCCUACCUAGUUCCGUCCUCCACAGCUGCACAGGAGGACCUGAGACAGGCAAGGAGAGAGGAUGCCUGGCCAUAGUGGUGGAGCAGCAGGACUCCAGAGGGGACAGCAGUAAGUCCAAUCUCUGCCCUGCUGCCCUCCAUCCAUCUAGUUCUCUCCUAGACUUCAGCUUCAGACAGACGUGGUUUGAAAGCUGCAGCCCCGGCCUUCCUCAACUGUGUGACCUUGGCUACGCCCACGUGCCCAUUGCCUCACCUGGGCCUCACUUUUCUCAUCUGUACCAUGGAGUUGGCACCCCUGGCUCUGGCCUCAAGGUUUGCCGCGCCUGCAGAGGCCCCUGAGCAUUCAGCAGGUACUCACUCAGUGGGAGCUGCCAGACGCUGAAUGUGUGAUGGGAAUCAUUGGAUCCGGCCGCCUCUCCACCCACCCGCCACCUGACACCGCCUCCUGGCUCUCCAUCACUGCCCAGGAGUCGGGCAGCCUCCCCGCUCCCUGCUAUUUCUUCUCUGGAGCUUCCCAGGAGGUUAAUAGCAGCUUCUCACCAGGAUAUUGGGCUUUUUUUAGGAAUCUCCUUGCCUCUUUCUUCUCUGUGAGGAUAUUCUCAGGAUGGCUGUGGCACAGGAGGGAAGGAAGGAGACUCUCUAGGCAUUUGCCAACUAAGAGGGGCACUUAGGAGUAGGUGGGGUGCCAGUUCCAGGCAGGACUUGGGGCAGACAGUGCCCUGUUUCCAGAACAGCUCCCAGUGCUGGGCUAGGCUGGGCUUAAAUGCAGUGGGAGAAGCUCAGGGGUGGGGUGGGGUCACAGGCUCCACUUGGAAUGGACCAGGUCAUUUGACUAUGGGGGUGUCUGUGAGCCUGGUGGGGCCUCAGUCUCCCCUCCUGGAAGGUAGGCCUGAUGGUCUAUGCCAGCCUCUAAAGGAAGGGAAAGAGUUUCGCUGAGCUGCAGAUGGAGGUGCAGACAAGGUGAGGGGCUGGGUGUCGGGGGAGGCCAGCGGAGCGCCCAGGACCCCUCUGGCUCCACCCCAGGUCCUUGGGCUCCACCUGCUCUCAGCCCUGUCCUGAGCUCAGGAAUGGUCCCAGGACUGAGAAGGAGGUCAAAACUCUGCAGCCCUUCCACUACUACUUCGGGGGGCUCAGCACAGCUCCUCCGGGCUCAUGUCCCCAGGCCCUUCCCUGGUGUGACCCCCCCAACCAGCCCCGCACAGGAGGGGAGGUCCACCUCUUAUGUGUGUGUUUUAAAUUGCAGUAAAAUGUACGUAACAUGAAAUUGACCAUUUUAGCUUUGUAAGUAUACAGGUCUGUGGCAUUCGGUACAUUCACAAUCCCGUGUGGCCAUGACCAUCAUCCAUUUCCGGGGCUUCUGCAUGAUCCCGAAUAGAAGCUUGCACGCCCUGUGCCACGCCCCUCCCACCUCAACCCCCCGUAACCGCUGGUCUUCGUCUCUAUGAAUUAAACUAUUCCAGACUGGUAAACUGAGGCACAGAGAGGCUACGGGACUCUCUCCAGCUGUGCGCCCCUUCUCACCGCCUCUCUGUUCUGCCUGUCCCUGUGAGGGUGGAAGUAUGCCGGCCAUGCCCACGCUUCACUGAGGAAGAGAGACAGCAGCCCCACGGUGCUAUGAGCCCCCAGGAUUAAGACCUCCAAGUUUGGUGCUCACAUAUUCAGUGGAGCCACACAGCACUGCCCAGGAGAGCCCAGGGCCUGAGUCGGGCCAAGGUUUAAUGGGGAGCAACCAGGGACCGCCAAGCCUCUUUUCGGGUCCCAGUGUCUCUUUUCUGAGGGUGACUCUGUAACUAGGCCCUGAGGAUUGCCUUGGGCUAUGCUGACACCUCUGGAUUGUCUGGGUAAGGGAGGGGACAGGCGUGGAGUCAGCAACAAGGCCCAAGAGGCCACCCAGGGCAAAGGAGAACCUGAUAAGGGCCUCUGGCCUCCAGGUGACCCACACUGCCUGGCACAGCCUCCACCCCCAUGCCCUGCUGGGCCUCCCAGGCUCCAUUUGUGUGUGUGACUGGGGAGGGCCAGGGUGGCUGGGAAGAUUUUAGGAUAUGGGAAACACAUUUAUUACGCUUUCAACGUAAGCCUGGGGACCCAACAAAAUCAGGCAUCUGGUAAAGGGAAGGAAAAAUGAAAGAUCUUUCCUGGGCCCCACUCACCUUCUUACGCUAAUACUUAAGACCUUUUGUGAUCUGGCCCAGUCCAUACGUCCAUCUGCCAGUCUGGUCCUCCACUCCUUGAUCCUUCCAUGGAGUCAUGCAUUCGGUAAGUAUUGACUGAAGACGCCUCCACCCAGGCACAGCGUCAGUCUCUGGAGCCACGGCUGCAGCUGUGAGGAAGGCAGAUGUGCCCUGCCCUCCUGGAGUUCCUGAGCUGGGGUCCUACGGCAACACCCAGCAUGAAGCAAAUAAUCAGAUGAUGCCUAAGUACAGGCAGUGCCCAGGGCUUUGGGGGAGCCAGGGCCUUGUGAGGGAUGAGGAAGCAAGCUGGAUGAAGACUGGGAGUCACAGAGGGUGCCGCUAAGAGGCUGCUGAGCAGAGGGAUAGAUGGAGCCAGCCAGGCAAAGGGCUUCAGAAAGAUCAGUCGGGGCAGGGGGAACAGCAUGCAACAUGGCCCGGAGGUGCCAAAGAAUUCAGUGAGUCUGAGGAACCUGGAGGUCAGGCAGCGUCGGCCAUCAUCAGUGAAGAACAGCUGGGGCAAUGGGGCCAGGGACUGCGCAGGGGUCACUCACUCAGGACU